rnacentral:rRNA from 1 species
GACAGAGGGUGCAAGCGUUGUUCGGAAUUAUUGGGCGUAAAGCGCGCGUAGGCGGUCGAGCAAGUCGAAUGUGAAAGCCCACGGCUUAACCGUGGAAGUGCAUUCGAAACUACUCAACUUGAGUUUCGGAGAGGGUGGCGGAAUUCCCAGUGUAGCAGUGAAAUGCGUAGAGAUGUGGAGGAAUACCAAUGGCGAAGGCAGCCUCCUGGCCUAAUACUGACGCUCAUGCUCGAAAGCGUGGGGAGCAAACAGG